UACAGAGGUCUCAAGCGUUGUUCGGAUUCAUUGGGCGUAAAGGGUGCGUAGGCGGCGCGGUAAGUCGGGUGUGAAAUCUCGGGGCUUAACUCCGAAACUGCGAUUCGGAUACUGCCGUGCUUGAGGACUGGAGAGGAGACUGGAAUUUACGGUGUAGCGGUGAAAUGCGUAGAUAUCGUAAGGAAGACCAGUGGCGAAGGCGGGUCUCUGGACAGUUCCAUGACGCUGAGGCACGAAGGUCAGGGGAGCAAACGGG
rnacentral:rRNA from 1 species